rnacentral:rRNA from 1 species
AGCCAUAGCCAUAUCACCCAGCAGACCAAUUACUGACUGAAGCUAAGCAGGGCUGAGCCUGGUCAGUACCUCUAUGGACCAUAUGGGAAAACUAGGUUGCUGUUGGAA